AUUGAACGCUGGCGGCAGGCCUAACACAUGCAAGUCGAGCGGAUGAAGGGAGCUUGCUCCUGGAUUCAGCGGCGGACGGGUGAGUAAUGCCUAGGAAUCUGCCUGGUAGUGGGGGAUAACGUCCGGAAACGGGCGCUAAUACCGCAUACGUCCUGAGGGAGAAAGUGGGGGAUCUUCGGACCUCACGCUAUCAGAUGAGCCUAGGUCGGAUUAGCUAGUUGGUGGGGUAAAGGCCUACCAAGGCGACGAUCCGUAACUGGUCUGAGAGGAUGAUCAGUCACACUGGAACUGAGACACGGUCCAGACUCCUACGGGAGGCAGCAGUGGGGAAUAUUGGACAAUGGGCGAAGGCCUGAUCCAGCCAUGCCGCGUGUGUGAAGAAGGUCUUCGGAUUGUAGAGCACUUUAAGUUGGGAGGAAGGGCAGUAAGUUAAUACCUUGCUGUUUUGACGUUACCAACAGAAUAAGCACCGGCUAACUUCGUG
rnacentral:rRNA from 1 species